rnacentral:lncRNA from 1 species
UUAUAUACACUUCACUAUCGAUCAAUGUAUUUUAACUUGUCGCAGCAGAAUAUAUCUGUCUUAUAUUUUAGCUAAUAAUUGACAAACAAUGUGUUUCCAAAUCUUCAGGUGGACAUACUUUAGGUUUCUCUCAUUGUUCAUCCUUCAGUAACAGGAUACACAACUUCGAUGCCACCAACGAUGUUGACCCAACAUUACAUCCAUCCUUGGCAUCAACCUUAAAGGGAAUUUGUCCACUUAAAAACAGGGCUAAGAAUGCUGGAACUGCCAUGGAUACUUCCUCAACAACGUUUGAUAAUUCAUAUUACAAGUUAAUUCUACAGAACAAGAGCCUUUUCUCUUCAGACCAAGCUUUGCUCAGUAUUCCCAAAACUAAAACUCUGGUUUCUGACUUUGCUAGCUCAAAAGAAGCUUUCUUUAAAGCUUUUGCUAAUUCCAUGAUCAAAAUGAGUAGCAUAAAUUCGUAUAACUUACGUAUAAUGUAUGCUAUACGUAAGUUAUUNNNNNNNNNNNNNNNNNNNNNNNNNUUUCCAAAUCUUCAGGUGACGAUACUUAGGUUUCUCUCAUUGUUCAUCCUUCAGUAACAGGAUACACAACUUCGAUGCCACCAACGAUGUUGACCCAACAUUACAUCCAUCCUUGGCAUCAACCUUAAAGGGAAUUUGUCCACUUAAAAACAGGGCUAAGAAUGCUGGAACUGCCAUGGAUACUUCCUCAACAACGUUUGAUAAUUCAUAUUACAAGUUAAUUCUACAGAACAAGAGCCUUUUCUCUUCAGACCAAGCUUUGCUCAGUAUUCCCAAAACUAAAAC